CGCUUCGUUUCGGUUCGGUUUGUCUUUUGGGGUUCUUCUCGCCUUCGAAAGCGCCGUCCUUCUUCAGUGUUUUCACAUUUUCACGUACAGUUCAAUCGUGAGGUUCAGCCUAGUGAGUUCUGUGUAGUUAAGUCGGAAUAUUUCGUAUAGUUCUCGUCGACUGUCGUCUGACAUUUGUUCUUCUAUUCCGAAACGCUGCAUUGAAAUACAAAAAUAAUACAAACUAGAAUAUUCAACAAAACAAAAAACCAAGGAAACGAAAAACCAAUUAAAAUUUUAACAAAAUAAUAACUCGCUUCAAAAUAUAUUGCAAAUAUAUCAACAAAUUUAAUCAAAUCAAAUUCACCAACAAAUCGAAAACAAACUCUAUUAAUUCGUUUACUCAAAAAUCCAAAAACACAAAACAACCAAAAACCGAUUCAAAUAUAUAACUGUUAAAUCUAAACGAGCAGGCGAUCUACUGGGAAGCGAGAGAGGAAGGGCAUCAGCAGCAGCACUACUACACGCGUGUGUGUUUAAAUACUGGAAAAUACAGAUAAGAUAAAUUAUUAUAGACACUCACGAGUACAUUUAGAGCAGACCAAACCCAGAGACAGACAACCGCAGAGAAUCAAAAGCACUCCAAGAGCAAAUCAAUAAAACAAAAACAAAACCCAAACAACAACAAAAAAAACAACAACAGAAACAACAGAAACAAAGAGAAAAAGCAACUCAAAAAACAAAAUUUUAAAAAAAGUGUUACCAAAAAAAACUUAAAAAAAAAAGAAAAUUAUUUAAAAGACAAAACCCGUACUCGUAACGGUGCAGACAACUGAAAAUACCCAGUGAAAAUUCAGAAAAGCGUUGACCAUUUUUUCUCGCAAAGGCGCCACGUCCAAGAGCAAAUCGUUCCAUAUGGUUCAUAUUAUUGAAUUGGUCGGCCAGCCGAAGGUUGAGUUUGCUCAACAAGUUACUAUGAACCGUGCUUUACAGCUGAAGCCAGCUGAAAAUGAAAGUCGCAGCGGUAAGUGCACAAGGCUUCAUCCUUACAACAGAACACGUGAUCCACGUGGCGGCUGCGCAUUCGUCAAAUUCGGAACGCAACAGGAGGCUCAGUCAGCAAUAGCCAAUCUACACGGAAGUCAAACUAUGCCGGGUGCAUCCUCCAGCCUGGUCGUCAAAUACGCCGACACAGAGAAGGAACGACAAAUCAGGCGCAUGCAACAAAUGGCCGGUCAUAUGAACCUGCUGAAUCCGUUUGUCUUUAAUCAGUUCAGCCCGUACGGCGCCUACGCUCAGCAACAGCAGCAAGCCGCUCUGAUGGCUGCCGCUGCCACCGCGCCUGGCUCGGCAGCCGCCUACAUGAACCCCAUGGCCGCCCUGGCAACGCAAAUACCUCAUGGCUUGAACGGCACCGGACAGCCGCCCUCUUUGCCCUCGCCGACCAUGCCCAACUUCAGCAUGGGCGCCAACACGCCCAACGGCCAGCCCGGUGGAGCUGCCGCGGCUGCAGCAGCUGCUGCGGCGGACGGGGUCUUCACGAACGGCAUUCCACAAACGGCAUUCCCAGGACAUCCGCUGCAUUUGACUAUACCACCACAAGGUCUGCCAAACGGCGAUGCUGCUACUCUGCAACAUGCCUUCCCUGGGCUGCCACCGUUUCCAGGAGUUGGAUGCUCGAUAUCCGGUCCAGAGGGCUGCAAUCUCUUCAUCUACCAUUUGCCCCAAGAGUUUGGCGAUGCGGAGUUAAUGCAAAUGUUCCUGCCCUUUGGCAAUGUGAUCAGCUCCAAGGUCUUCAUCGAUCGUGCUACAAACCAGAGCAAAUGCUUCGGUUUCGUGUCCUUCGAUAAUCCAGCCAGCGCUCAAGCGGCCAUUCAGGCCAUGAAUGGCUUCCAGAUUGGCAUGAAAAGACUGAAAGUUCAAUUGAAGCGGCCAAAGGAUGCCAGUCGACCCUAUUAACAAUCGGAGUUCCUUAAGUGUAAUUCGCAACAACUACAACUACUUCCUGGAGCACCAACAACAGGAGUAGUCGCAGGAGCAGCCAUGCCACAAACUACAACACAAUUUGCAACAGCAGCAGCAGCAGCAGCAACAGCAUCCACAGCAACAGCAACAGCCACAGCAACAACCACAGUGCACCACUAUAGUCACAGAAGCAGCUUUAGGCCACCAUUUCCCAAUGACAACUCCACUCAUAUGCCGGUAUCAAUUCGCCAGCUGGCGCGAAAUGGUGACCUACUGCUAUCGCUAUAUAGUACCCCGCCAGAAACACUUCCUCCCCAGCCCCAAAAAGCAACCAACAACAGCAACAUCAGCAAGGACAACAACAACAGCACCAACCAACAACAACAGCACCAACAAACACCCACCAGCAGCACCACACCAAACAACAAUAGCAAGCACUGCAGGCAGCAGAAUGGACCGAUUCCCAUCCACAUCCAACUCAACCGGACAUGGCAUCCAAUAGCAACCAGAAGGAACUAUCCAAAGUGGAAUAAGUCGAAAAACUGUUCAAGUGGCAGCAACAAAAGCGAAAGACCUAAAGCCACCAGGACCCCACAAACAGCAACCAUGACAACUGCGACAACAAUAACGAGCGACUACUGAAAGGAUGGUCUUCACCAUGCUAAGUGAAAUGAUUAUAAAAAUUAAACACAUGCAAAAUCGGUGUGUAAAAAAACCUAAAAUAAUAGUAAACAACCAAA
rnacentral:misc_RNA from 1 species